rnacentral:rRNA from 1 species
GGAGCAUGUGGUUUAAUUCGAAGCAACGCGAAGAACCUUACCAGGCCUUGACAUGCAGAGAACUUUCCAGAGAUGGAUUGGUGCCUUCGGGAACUCUGACACAGGUGCUGCAUGGCUGUCGUCAGCUCGUGUCGUGAGAUGCUGGGUUAAGUCCCGUAACGAGCGCAACCCUUGUCCUUAGUUACCAGCACGUUAUGGUGGGCACUCUAAGGAGACUGCCGGUGACAAACCGGAGGAAGGUGGGGAUGACGUCAAGUCAUCAUGGCCCUUACGGCCUGGGCUACACACGUGCUACAAUGGUCGGUACAAAGGGUUGCCAAGCCGCGAGGUGGAGCUAGUCCCAUAAAACCGAUCGUAGUCCGGAUCGCAGUCUGCAACUCGACUGCGUGAAGUCGGAAUCGCUAGUAAUCGUGAAUCAGAAUGUCACGGUGAAUACGUUCCCGGGCCUU